CCUGUCUACACUACCUGCCUGGCCAGCAGAUCCAUGCUAUCUACACUACCUGCCUGGCCAGCAGAUCCACCCUGUCUACACUACCAGCCUGCUCAGCAGGUCCACCCUGUCUACACUACCUGCCUGCCCAGCAGGUCCACUCUGUCUACACUACUUGCUUGUCCAGCAGGUCCAACCUGUCUACACCACCUGCCUGCCCAGCAUAUCCACCCUGUCUACACUCCCUGCCUGGCCAGUAGAUCCACGCUAUCUACACUCCCUGCCUGUCCAGCACAUCCACCCUGUCUAUACUAACUGCCUUUCCAGCAGAUCCACCCUGCCU
rnacentral:lncRNA from 1 species